rnacentral:tRNA from 5 species
GGAAGAGUAAGCCAACAGAUUCUGGGUACUGGCAACUGUCUUGAAAACAGUCGAUCCUUGAAAGGGUGUGUGGGUUCGAAUCCCACUUCUUCCGCCA